GUGCUGGCUUUGGCAGUGCAUAUACUAAAAUUGGAAUGAUACAGAGAAGCUUAGGAUGGCCCCUGUGCAAGGAUGACAUGUAAAUCCGUGAAGCCUUUCAAAAUUUU
ensembl:snRNA U6 U6 spliceosomal RNA